UUUUCAAAGAAAAUGGCAUAUUAAUUAUAAUUAUGCAAACUAAACCACACAAAAAUAUAUUAUUAAAACGUAAGAGUUGAAACGAGUUUAGCGGAUUGCCGAACAACUUCUUGAAAAUUAAAAAUCGUUGAACACUCAAAAAAUAGUCGUUGGACACGUUUAGGCCAGCGAGGCUCGCUAGGACCGGCUGACGGUCCCAGACCUAGCGGUCCCGGGUUCACGGGCUAAUGGUCUCGGACCGGCCCGUUACGGGCCUAAAGCUAACACCAGGCCCAGGACCGCACCACCAGGCUCGUUAGACCCGGCAGGACCGCGGAUCCGGUCCGAUCCGGUUCAGGCCACAGUGCACUGUUAACCUCAACAAAACCCAACGAAAAAAAUAGGAGCUAAACGCACAGACGGACAAACUCAUUAGUACACUAUGUUUCACCCAAUUUUCCAAGCUAACGAGAACAGCCUUUACGGAGACCUUACAAGAGAAAAGGUUUACAAGCAAAGAAAAUCAUGCAUAAAGAAAGAGAUGAAAAUUGAUCUUAAAUAUAACUUCCACAAAUCCAUAAGACAAAGACGUUAGGCCACUAACCGGAACUCGACGCAAUAACUCAUAUGAACCUCGUCGGUGACGACCUCGAACACAGAGCUUCACGAAAUUAAUGGAGGAUUUUGGAUCUGUUUUUCUUUAAAAAAAUGGCACCGAUUUGAGCUUAAAUUAUUUAACUCUCAUGAGUGUUUUUGGAGGAAGAAAAUCAGCAGCUGCUGCUGCCUCUUGGCUGGAAUUUUUGUUGUUUUUGUAUGCGGAUUUAAGGUAGUUUAAUGAGAUUUUUGGCGCUGUGGUCGUUGCUAAUUUUUGUGGCUUCUUUUGUUGAAGUUUGGUCUUGUCUUCGCUAGAUUUGAGGGGUUGGAAAGUGAUGGUUUUAGGUGGUUUUUUGCAGCUGUAUUUGGGUGAAGAAAGGGGAGCUUCACAUUGCUAUAAAAAAUGGUGACAAUAGUUGUAUUUUUGAGUGGAGACAGAGGUGAUAUUUGAUGGAUUUUGCGUAUUUUCCUCAAUGAACGAAGAUUUUUGGCUCUUCCUUCUAUGGUGUUUUCCUAUGCUAAAGAAGAAGCAGAUAGGGUUUGUCCGUUUGUGCUGCGACAGAUCAGUGUUUAAUAGAGUGUGCGUUUGUUUUGGGUCUGUGCUCUAACCAGAGUAGCACAAAAGUUGAAACACUACUUGUGGUCGUAUACCUCAUCUCACGCAUGAACCCAAAGCCCCAAAAAUGUCGGCGACAUCCUUCUUCACAAAAGAACGGCAAGGGCCAAAAUUCAUCAAAAAAAAAACCUUAAUCUCCAAGGCCUCACCCACCACUUCCCUUGAGAAAUUCUGGCCGCCUACACCUUUAAGAGAAAGAGAGCACCAGCUAAAACAAAAUCUUCCUAGGUCAGCAACGCUUUUCGACAUCUACGUCGAACAGUUGUCACGCAAAUUUCAAUUCCUUAAACUAUGGGAAUCUUCAAUCUUCACUUCCAUUGGAACAAUUCAUUUCCACACCUGCUCAAUCUAUAUAAGCCAUGGUUUCUUCUCCUAAAGAUUUUAUUUUUUGAGUGAGGUCGUUUUGGUUUUGAGCUUUCCAGCGACGAUUCGAGCUCCGGCCAGUAAUUUUGUUUUGAACGUGUCGUUAUCCAUUUUCAAGUUGAAGUUUUCCUAUAAAAGGUUAGAACUCUUUCGAGAGAAAGGUCCACUCAUGGCUUCUUAUUUUAAAUUAAUGUAUAUCUUUGCAGCUUUAUGUAUGUGGAUGAAUUUUCUUUGGUUUCAUAAUUUUCUCUUUUGUUGCUGCCUAUAGUAAUACUUUUCAUGGAUUAACAUGCUAUUUUUUUUAAAAUAAUUUUGAGGCUUAAAACAGCAAAAAGGGCAUAUGUGUUUGAGCGG
rnacentral:lncRNA from 1 species